CCUUUUUGGAAUCCUUCUAUGUCAAAAGUGGAAUACAAUGGAAUGCAAUUCCUUCAGCCUUGCUGGAUUUUACCGCCAUUUUCCGAUGAUGUGUGUGGCUACUUACAGGCAAAGUCUGUCAUUUUUACGAUUUAAACAUUUUUUUCCCUUUUACAUCAAUUCUUGCCAUUAGUGUGAGCAACGAAUAUUUGAACAAAAAGGGUGGAGCAGCACAUGUCGACACACAAUACAACCAUGCUCGCAGGCAUAUCUUAUUUUUCCUCUGCGAAACACGACUAAUAUUAUCGCAGCCGCUGGCUCCUUGAGUGCUGACUCUUGUUUCAGUCUGCAAAACUCGGGGGGGCCCCCCCCCCAAAAAAUUUUUUUUUAAAGGGAUUUAAUGCUUGUUUUAUUUUAAUCUAGUCAAAAACGUUUUCUUUUUAAUUCUCAAGUAUAUAAAAUAAAUGCAACAACAAAUAAUGAAACCCAUUUUAGCCCAAAUUGUUUGAUUAAAGUCAACAGGAUGCUAUUAAUUUUUUUACGCAGUUGAGGUAAGAAAUUCCAACACAUUCCUCACCAUUAGGAAGUUCCAUCACAAUUGGCCAGCAAAGAGCCCAGAGGGUUAAACUGCCUCAUCUGCACUUUACGAUUCCCCGAAGAGUGUGUGCAUGUGUAUUUGUGACGCUCCCCCAGCUGAAACAAGGACGGUGACACGGCUCCGAGCCCAAGCAGAUGUUCCUUUUUAAUAAUUCAGCUGCACAUUGCAUAAGAGUUGCAUCGCGGGAGGCGAAUAAUAACGUGCUGGAGAGUGUACGCCCGAGGCGCUUUCGGACAGGAUGUAGCGGACGUCACGGGCCAAGAGUCUUCCUUCAUUCGCUCGAUCAACUACUUUGAUGGAACGUCCUUGGGGGGAGUUGAGCAUGUGCGACCCGAUGCAGCCGUUUGUCGUCCCUGAUCAUUUACAUCAAGGGGACAUUGUUAUAAUUCACUUUAUAAUGUUUGUCGACAGAGAUAAGAAGUGAUACGCACAUCUGCCUCACAAUCCUGAGGUUCUGGGUUAGACUCCGGACAGUUUAGUGAUGAAGUGCUGCCUACACAAGUGAAAAUAGACUUUUUUUUCGGGGGAGGGGGGGGCCUUGCUUUUUUUGUUUUAAAUUGUGUGUGUGUGGUGGGUGGUGGGGGGGACUUUAAUAUGCACACCCCGGCGGCACUUUGCGUCAUAUUUGAGGGACAGAUGACAAACGAGCAGGGAAUGAAUAUGGUUGGGCAGAGACGCAAAUGAAAGAUGCCCAUUGGAAGCGGAUACAAGCAGAAACACAAGAGUGAUAACGGCGCAGUAUGAGGAGAGGCGAGCGGAGUCGGGAGAACUUACCUCAUCAUGGCGAACGGACUGCACGCUCGCCACCUUGAAGCAAUACGCAGACCAAAUAUUGACUCUGGAAAUUGAGAGAGUGCAACGGGAGGGGGGGGGGGGGGGGGGGAGGGACGACACGCCGCUUAGGAAAGUGCAAAAUCCUUUUUUUUUUUUUUAAUUUUUGGUCUUUUUGUUUUUUU